CUGGACGGCCAUAGUGACAAGGUUCCACCCGAUCCCAUUCCGAACUCGGAAGUUAAGCUCCAUGACGCCGAUGGUACUGCAGGGGUCACCCUGUGGGAGAGUAGGUCUCGCCGGU
rnacentral:rRNA from 1 species